GAAGUCAACUUUAAGAUUUAGCAUUCUAAAGGCAUGAGGCCUAGUUGCUCUUCAACAAGUUUAGCAUUCUAAAGGCAUGAGGCCUAGUUUCUCUUGAACUCCUUUAUAUUAUGGGUCCUUUGAAGUCAACUUUAAGAUUUAGCAUUCUAAAGGCAUGAGGCCUAGUUGCUCUUCAACAAGUUUAGCAUUCUAAAGGCAUGAGGCCUAGUUUCUCUUGAACUCCUUUAAGCAUAGUUAAGGUCCUAAUUCUAAGUCCUUUCUCCUUUUUGCAUGAGGUUCAC
rnacentral:lncRNA from 1 species